CUCACAUUUCAGAACAACUAUCUUCUUCACUAUCUGUGAGACACUCAUCUAAGGUUGUGAAGACUUAACGGUAUAAACACAGAAAUCAUGCUGAAGAUAAUGUUGGUGCUUGGAUGUCUCCUGAGCCUGGCUCUGGCCAAGCCGGCUGGAGAAAAACAUAAAAGACAUGGACAUGGACGCCCACAUUUUGGCUCCGAUUUGCCUAGGGGUCCUCCCCAUCAUGGCUUUCCCAGCUUCCCACCUUGGUUUGAGCUUCUUAAACUGCUGCUUCAACAACUAAGUACGACAACUGCAGCUACCACUACAACUACUACUACUACUACUGCUGCUGCUGCCACUACAAAAUAAAACCUGACAUGUAACCAGAGCUCAAUAAGUGAAUGAAAACUGUUGCCAGAUCAUCACAUCAUUCUAAAUGAAUGUGAUGAUCAGUAUCACUUUAUUCUCUGUUUUACCUGAUAAAUAAACUUUGGAAAUGUAAA